GGGACAGAGGGGGAGGGUCAGGGGAACUUAGAUAGGAGGGCGAGGAACUUUGAUUGGGUGUAGAAUAUGUGGUUAGCUGGACUGAUAAGGUGGAUAGAUUUAGAGUAAGUUAGGAUAGGAUAGGUCUUUGAUAGGGGGUUGAAGGUUAGGCGAACUUUGAUUGGAUAGAGAAAUUGAGGGGAAGAUAGAUUUGGUUUUAGUUGGGUUUCAGAAGUUCAGGGCAUUAGGUGAGGUUACAAUGAGACUAAACUUUUUUGGAGUGCAGAAAGUUUACCCAAGUUAGGUUUGGUAAAGGUCGAGCUAGACUUUAAUAAGGGUAAGAGGUUCAGGAUUAACCCAGUAGCAGCGAUGGGCCAAAUUUGUGGCUUUACCGUGUAGCAGCGACGGGCCAAAUUUGUGGCUUUACCGUGUAGCAGCGACGGGCCAAAUUUGUGGCUUUACCAUGUAGCAGCGACGGGCCAAAUUUGUGCCAUGAUUUAAACCCCCCAAAAUAGAUGAUACAGAAUCUGAUCACAAAUGCUUUGAUAUAUAUUAUUAAACGGUUUGUGUGAGCGAUGAUUCUUUCUCAUUUUUCUCGCUUGGAGGGACCAUUAAGAAACACAAUCCCCUGCUGCUACCGGGUUAAGUAGAUUUUGAAAAGUUGCAGAAAUUCAAAAUAGAUUAGGUCAGGAUGAAACUAGACUCUGAGUUGACUAGACUGCUAAUCUUGGUGUAUGAAAACUAGGUAAAGACAGGAAUAUAUACACAGCUAGGCUAACUCAUACUGAUUUCGGGAAGGCAUCGAAAUCAAGUGUUAAAGAUUUGAUUCAGUCCUAGAAAAAGUAAAUAAAUAGAUUGGUCAGGAAUAUUAGGUUAACAUAGCAUUGCAGUCUUCAGAAGUUAAGUUACUGAGUCUGAAAUUAUUAGCAAGGGAAUGGUAGGAAAUAGAAGAGAUAAAAUAGCAGGAUAAACAAUAAUAGGAAAGAGAAUUACAGGGGAAAAGAUUGUCAUAGGAAUUAGAAUAGGAGAGACGCAAUCACGGUUAUAGGAAAGAUAGACAGGAAGGAGAGAAGAAGGGAAUGGGGGUGAGGAGAAGAAGAAGAUAGGGAAAAGAAAACAGCUGAUGAAGGGAGGAGGAGGAACAGAAAUUGAGACAGAGAGACAAACGAUAGAGAAAGGAAGGAAGGAAGGGAGGAGGUGGGAGAUGGAGAAGGAGGCAGAGGAAGGAAGGAGGAGGAGGAGAAAAAGAAAGACAAAAUGAGGUUCCAGGUAAAAAACGGAGGGAAGAGGGAGACAGAGAGAUAGGAGAAACAGAUAGGAAAGAAAGAUGAGGAGAAGAGAAAAGAGGAAACGGAGAAAUCCCAACUCCUCCUCCUCCUCCAACUCCUACAGUUUCCUCUACUACUACUACUACUACUACUAUUUCAUUAUGUGUGUGUGUCGUAUGAAAGUUACUACAGAAAGCCACUAAUCACCACAGAUUAUUUCUAGGGGUUCUUCCUUCUUGACUAAAGGAUGCGGCAGCUAAGAGUUAAAAGCUACAACGCGCUCACGUACGUAUAAGACAUCCAUCCUGAGUCCAUGUCAGCCUGUAGGUGUUCGUUGCUUCAUUCUCUCCUUCAGGCUCUUACUGAUAGUGUUCUUGUGCUCUGCCAGGCGGGGGCGGGCGCUGCAAACCUAACCUAACCCACGGCGUCGGUUGGAUUUUAGUCUGGAUGCUGAUACCGGGUUCUACUUAGUCUAGGGUUGAUGAUGAUAUUGGGUUCUACUUAGUCUAGGGUUGAUGAUGAUAUUGGGUUUUACUUAGUCUAGGGUUGAUGCUGAUAUCGGGUUUUACUUAGUCUAGGGUUGAUGCUGAUAUUGGGUUUUACUUAGUCUAGGGUUGAUGCUGAUAUUGGGUUUUACUUAGUCUAGGGUUGAUGCUGAUAUUGGGUUUUACUUAGUCUAGGGUUGAUGCUGAUAUUGGGUUUUACUUAGUCUAGGGUUGAUGCUGAUAUUGGGUUUUACUUAGUCUAGGGUUGAUGCUGAUAUUGGGUUUUACUUAGUCUAGGGUUGAUGCUGAUACUGGGUUUUACUUAGUCUAGGGUUGAUGCUGAUAUUGGGUUUUACUUAGUCUAGGGUUGAUGCUGAUACUGGGUUUUACUUAGUCUAGGGUUGAUGCUGAUACUGGGUUUUACUUAGUCUAGGGUUGAUGCUGAUACUGGGUUUUACUUAGUCUAGGGUUGAUGCUGAUAUUGGGUUUUACUUAGUCUAGGG